rnacentral:rRNA from 1 species
UAACUGCAAGGUUUGAUCUAUGGCUCGAUUGAACGCUGGCGCAGGCCUAACACAUUCAGUCGACGGUAGAGAGGUGCUUGCACCUCUUGAGAGCGGCGAGGGUGAUUAAUGCCUAGGAUCUGCCUGUAGUGGGGGAUACGCUCGGGAAACGGACGCUGAAUACCUGCAUACGUCCUACGGGAGAAAGCAGGGACCUUCGGGCCUUUGCGCUAUCAGAUGAGGCCUAGGUCGGAUUAGCUAGUGGUGGGGUUCAAUGGCUCACCAAGGCGACGAUCCGUAACUGGUCUGAGAGGAUGAUCAGUCACACUGAACUGAGACCACGGUCCAGACUCCUACGAGGCAGCAGUGGGGAAUAUUGGACAAUGGCGAAAGCCUGAAUCCACCAUGCCGCGUGUGUGAAGAGGUCUUCGGAUUGUAAAGCACUUUAGUUGGGGUAGGAAGGGCAUUAACCUAAUACGUUAGUGUUUGACGUUACCGACAAAUACCGCACCGGCUAACUCCUUGCCAGCAAGCCGCGUAAUACGAGGGUGCAGCGUUAAUCGGAAUUACUGGGCGUAAAGCCGCGCGUAGGGGUUCGUUAAGUGGAUGUGAAAGCCCCGGGCUCAUCCUGGAACUGCAUUCAAAACUGUCGAGCUAAGUAUGGUUACUAAUGGUGGUGGAUAUUUCCUGUGGUAGCGGUGAAAUGCGUAGAUAUAGUGAAGGAACACCAGUGGCGAAGGCGACCACCUGGACUGAUACUGACACUGAGUGCGAAAUCCGCGUGGGGAGCUCAAACAGGAUUUAGAAUACCCUGGUGUCCACGCCGUGUGUAAACGAUGUCAACUAGCCGUUGGAGCCUUGAGCUCUGUAGUGGCGCAGCUACGCAUUAAGUUGACCGCCUGGGGAUACGGCCGCCAAGGGUUAAAACUCAAAUGAAUUGACGGGGCCCGCACAAGCGGUGGAGCAUGAUCGUUUAAUUCGAAAGCAACGCGAAGAACCUUACCAGGCCUUGUAUCCAAUGAAACCUUUCAAGAUGGAUUUUGGCGCUUUCGGGACCACUCUAUACAGGUGCUGCAUGGCUGUCGUCAGCUCGUGUCGUGGAUGUAUCAGGGUUAAGAUCCCUAAACGAGGCGCAACCCUUGUCCUUAGUUACCAGCACUUAAUGGUGGGCACUCUCAAGGAACUGCCGGUACAAACCGGAGGAACGGUGGGGAUUGACGUACCAAGUCCAUCAUGGCCCUUUACGGCCUGGGCUACCACACGUGCUACCAAUGAUCGGUACAGAGGGGUUUUUUUUUGCACAAGCCGCUCAGGUGAGCUAAUCCCACAAAAUCACGAUCGUAGUCCCGGAUCGCAGUCUGUCAACGCGACUGCGUGAAGUCGGAAAUCGCUAGUAAUCGCGAAUCAGAAUGUCGCGGUGAAUACGUUCCCGGCCUUGUACACACCGCCCUCACACCAUGGGAUGGGUCACAGAAGUAGCUAGUCUAACCAUUCCGGGGGUGACGGUUACCACGGUGUGAUUCAUGACUGGGGUGAAGUCGUAACAAUGUAGCCGUAGGGGAACCUGGCGGCUGGAUCACCUCCUUA